rnacentral:rRNA from 1 species
CCUACGGGGGGCAGCAGUGGGGAAUAUUGGACAAUGGGGGAAACCCUGAUCCAGCGACGCCGCGUGAGUGAAGAAGGAUUUCGGUACGUAAAGCCCUAUUAGUAGGGAAGAAAAUGACGGUAUCUGACGAAUAAGCACCGGCUAAAUACGUGCCAGCAGCCGCGGUAAUACGGAGGGGGCAAGCGUUAUCCGGAUUUACUGGGUGUAAAGGGAGCGUAGGCGGGAGAGCAAGUCUGAAGUGAAAUGCUGGGGCCUAACCCCCGAACUGCCGUGGAAACUGUGAAUCUAGAGUGUGGGAGAGGUAGGCGGAAUUCGUGGUGUAGCGGUGAAAUGCGUAGAUAUCACGAGGAACAC